rnacentral:rRNA from 1 species
GAUGAACGCUAGCUACAGGCUUAACACAUGCAAGUCGAGGGGAAACGAUGAGAGAGCUUGCUCUCUUAGUCGUCGACCGGCGCACGGGUGAGUAACGCGUAUCCAACCUACCUCUGACCAAGGGAUAACCCGUCGAAAGUCGGACUAAUACCUUAUGCAGUCGUCGGAAGUCAUCUGAUGACGACGAAAGAUUUCAUCGGUGAGAGAUGGGGAUGCGUCUGAUUAGCUUGUUGGCGGGGUAACGGCCCACCAAGGCGACGAUCAGUAGGGGUUCUGAGAGGAAGGUCCCCCACAUUGGAACUGAGACACGGUCCAAACUCCUACGGGAGGCAGCAGUGAGGAAUAUUGGUCAAUGGGCGUAAGCCUGAACCAGCCAAGUAGCGUGCAGGAUGACGGCCCUAUGGGUUGUAAACUGCUUUUAUGCGGGGAUAAAGUGAGGGACGUGUCCUUCAUUGCAGGUACCGCAUGAAUAAGAACCGGUUAAUUCCGUG